rnacentral:ribozyme from 1 species
UGAAUAACUCCGCCUGUAGCUCUUAUAGGGUUGCUGCCGGUCCCAAGCCCGGGUAAAGGAGGAGGGUUGG